rnacentral:rRNA from 1 species
CCAAUAGCGUAUAUUAAAGUUGUUGCAGUUAAAAAGCUCGUAGUUGAAUUUCGGGAUCAAUAUAUCGGUCGUGCCAUCGGUACGUACUGGUAUCAUUGGUUUCUCCUUUCUGACGAACCAUGAUGUCAUUAAUUUGGUGUCAUGGGAAGUUAGGACUGUUACUUUGAAAAAAUUAGAGUGUUUAAAGCAGGCAUUAGCUUGAAUACAUUAGCAUGGAAUAAUGAAAUAGGACGUUCGAACCUAUUUUGUUGGUUUCUAGGAUCAACGUAAUGAUUAAUAGGGAUAGUUGGGGGCAUUAGUAUUCAAUUGUCAGAGGUGAAAUUCUUGGAUUUAUUGAAGACUAACAACUGCGAAAGCAUUUGCCAAGGAUGUUUUCAUUAAUCAAGAACGAAAGUUAGGGGAUCGAAGACGAUCAGAUACCGUCGUAGUCUUAACCAUAAACUAUGCCGACUAGGGAUCGGAUGAUGUUAAUUUUUUAAUGACUCAUUCGGCGCCUUACG